rnacentral:rRNA from 1 species
UACGUAGGGUGCGAGCGUUGUCCGGAAUUACUGGGCGUAAAGAGCUCGUAGGUGGUUUGUCGCGUUGUUCGUGAAAACUCACAGCUUAACUGUGGGCGUGCGGGCGAUACGGGCGGACUGGAGUACUGCAGGGGAGACUGGAAUUCCUGGUGUAGCGGUGGAAUGCGCAGAUAUCAGGAGGAACACCGGUGGCGAAGGCGGGUCUCUGGGCAGUAACUGACGCUGAGGAGCGAAAGCGUGGGGAGCGAACAGG